CUGGAGGUAUCAGAAGUGCGAAUGCUGACAUAAGUAACGAUAAAGCGGGUGAAAAGCCCGCUCGCCGGAAGACCAAGGGUUCCUGUCCAACGUUAAUCGGGGCAGGGUGAGUCGACCCCUAAGGCGAGGCCGAAAGGCGUAGUCGAUGGGAAACAGGUUAAUAUUCCUGUACUUGGUGUUACUGCGAAGGGGGGACGGAGAAGGCUAUGUUGGCCGGGCGACGGUUGUCCCGGUUUAAGCGUGUAGGCUGGUUUUCCAGGCAAAUCCGGAAAAUCAAGGCUGAGGCGUGAUGACGAGGCACUACGGUGCUGAAGCAACAAAUGCCCUGCUUCCAGGAAAAGCCUCUAAGCAUCAGGUAACAUCAAAUCGUACCCCAAACCGACACAGGUGGUCAGGUAGAGAAUACCAAGGCGCUUGAGAGAACUCGGGUGAAGGAACUAGGCAAAAUGGUGCCGUAACUUCGGGAGAAGGCACGCUGAUAUGUAGGUGAAGCGACUUGC
rnacentral:rRNA from 1 species